rnacentral:RNase_P_RNA from 1 species
AAAGCAGGCAGAAUGGUCGCUCGUUUCCUAUACGGGAACGGGAGGAAAGUCCGAGCUCCGCAGGACAGAGUGCUGGGUAACGCCCAGUCCCGGUGACGGGAAGGAAAGUGCCACAGAAAAUAGACCGCCCUGAAUAAAGAAAUUUAUUCGUCAUGGGUAAGGGUGAAACGGUGAGGCAAGAGCUCACCAGUCUCAGUGGUGACAUUGAGAGCUUGGUAAACCCCACUCGGAGCAAGACCAAAUAGGAGAGCACAGGUAGGGUGGUCCGCCCGUAGCUCUCGGGUAGGUUGCUUAAGGUACUGGGUAAUCAGUAUCUCAGAUGAAUGACCAUUGCCUUGAAAGCUUUCAAGGAACAGAACUCGGCUUAUUGUCUGCUUUAGCA